GAGGAAUAUUGGUCAAUGGACGAGAGUCUGAACCAGCCAAAUCGCGUGAAGGAAGACUGCCCUAGGGGUUUUAAACUUUUUUUGUCAAGGAAUAAAAGACAUAACUGGUAAUUUAUUGCUUGAAUUUUCGGAUUAGGCAUCGCCUAAUUCCGUGCCAGCACCGCGGUAAUACGGAGGAUGCGAGCGUUAUCCGGAUUUAUUGGGUUUAAAGGGUGCGCAGGCGGGAUUUUAAGUCAGCGGUGAAAUUUUCAGGCUCAACCUGAACACUGCCGUUGAAACUGGGAUUCUUGAGUAUGGAUGAAGUAGGCGGAAUUCGUUGUGUAGCGGUGACAUGCUUAGAUAUAACGAGGAACUCCGAUUGCGUAGGCAGCUUACUAAGCCAUAACUGACGCUCAAGCACGAAAGCGUGGGGAUCGAACA
rnacentral:rRNA from 1 species